rnacentral:lncRNA from 1 species
CAGCAGAGCCUGUGGAGGGAGCUAAAGGCAGGAGACCCCAGAAGAAUGAGUCGGGGGCCAUAAGAUGGGCAGAGCCAGGACAUGCCAGGCUUUGGGGGUCCAGGUGACUGUCCUGUGACCAAGGAGGGCUGCAUUUGCAUUUGAGUGGCUCUCAGACCAGAAUCUGAAGGACAAAUUCGGCCUGGAGAAUGCCUACAGCCGCUUCCACCCCUCGCUGGGGACUGUCAACCCCACCACAGAGUUGCACUUUCAGAGGCCAGAGGUGGUGAGAACGACUCGGUGAGGUACAGAGGCUCCCAGCCCUCAUGUAGAUGUAGACCAGAGAGCAACAGAGAGCCCACUGUGAACAGCCCUGGCUGGCCAAGAAGAAAGCAGUGCGGGGCCCUGUGGCCCUGCAGGUGCGCAUAGGUGACAGAUUGGCCUAUGGUCUCCUGCUGCUGCCUGCUGGAAAGGCGGUGGGGGCUGUGAGUGUUUCUGUCUGCUCCAUCACCCUCGUCCCGGCCCAUGAGUCCGAGGCUACCAGAACUCUUGGCUUCUUUGUUCACCCUUAGCUUCUCCCCACUGGGGAAUUUCCC